GUAUAAGCUUGUUUAUACGGCGAGACUGCGGAUGGCUCAUUAAAUCAGUUAUAGUUUAUUUGAUGGUCUCUUUUGUCUUUUUUUACCUACUUGGAUAACCGUGGUAAUUCUAGAGCUAAUACAUGCGCAAGGUCCCGAGCGCGGGGGAUGGGGCUUCACGGCUCUGUCCUCGCAUGCGCAGAGGGAUGUAUUUAUUAGGUUAAAAACCAGCAUCCCCCAAUGGGUACAAUCUCCCGGGGAGAUUUAUAAACUUUUUUUGAGAUCAUUUUUGUGUUCCCUGUGGGGAGAGCGACAAUACUUUCUAAUUUUUGCCCCAUCUCCUUUUUAUGGGGUGAGAUAGGCCUCCCCUGUGCUCAACACGUAAAAGAGAAAAAUGGUUUUAUUCUCGAGAGAGAGACUGAGAAAAGUGUACCACUUUUAAAGAGAGGGGCACGCGCGCAAAUUAUCCCCUCUCCACACGGGGAGGUAUUGAGACUAUAAAUAACUACACGGGCUCUAUAAGAGACUCGUGUAUGGAAUGUGUACACAUUAAAACCCUUACGAGUAACAAAUUGGGAGCACGUCUGUGUCCCAGCAGGCGCUAUACCCCUCUAUAUAGUAUAUAUAGUGUGUAGCUGUAAAUGCUCGUAGUUGGAUCUAGGGACGCGCAUUUCAAGCGCCCGUGCCAUCGGGUCAAACCGGCGGCUGCGUUGGCGUUGCGGGCUCGGUCCGUCGGUGCCCCACAAAGGUUAUCGGCGUGUCAACCGGCCCGCCCGUCCCCUCCUUCUGGAUUCCCGUUCCUGCUAUUGAGUUAGUGGGGACGUCACAGGGGGUCCAUCGUCGGCGCUUUUCAACGCCUCUGGGGGGGAUCUGGGGGGCCCAUAUCUUUUACCGAGAAAAAAUUAGAGUGCUCAAAACGCGCAUACUCUUUUUUCUGCCCCCAAAUAUUUUAAUGUGGUAUAGUGGUAUGAGACCGUGCCCCCCUAUUUUCAUGUGGUUGUGGCCGCGCGAGGACUAGGGAAGUGAUUAAUAGGUAUAUGUGGGGGCUUUAAUAUUUAAUUGUCAGAGGUGAAAUUCUUGGAUUUAUGAAAGAUUAACUUCUGCGAAAGCCUCUGCCGGAGGUGUUUUUUUUAAUCAAGAACAAAAUUUAGGAUAUCGAACAAUAUCAUAUACCCUCAUACUCUUACCCAUAAAAGAUGCCCACCCGCUAAUAAGACAUUUUGUAUACAACACACCACUCUCGGCGCGCUCCCUCGUGGCGUUUGUGUUCUCACACGCGCGCGCGGGAGAGGUAUUUAUAGGGGGGGCACCCCGGAAAAAGUCUCCCCAGCACAGUUUGUGAGAUAUCAUGUGUCUGGGUUCUCCCGGGGAGAGUAGGGUCGCAACUGUGAAUCUUAGGAGAUGUGGGAGAGGCGCACCCCCAAGAGGAGCGCGCGCGGCAAUUUUAGUCUCCACGGGGAGACAUUUCCCAUCUCGACAUAUAGUAAGGAUUGAGAGAUAUAUAUCUCUCUUGUGUCUCUAUGUGUGGGUGCACAUCGCCUCUCAUAGUUUGGAGAGAGAUUUCUCGUUAUAAUUGUGAAAGAGAGAGACCCCAUCCCCUUAUAUAUAUCGCGCUAUACCCUGUCCCUCAAACCCCAUGCGGCGCUCACGCUGUGCGCUGCGGGGUGGUGUCUUUUCGCCGCGAUCUCUCUCCGCCCACAGGCCCCGUCUCCGUGUGGGCUAUAGGUUUGGGUCUCCGUGUUUUUGAGAGGGAGUUGUGCGCGCAUCCCCAGCAAAAGUGAGACACAAUCACAUGUGUGAGAUCCCUUGAGAUUUUGGGCCCCGCACGCGCUACACAGAGUAAUCUCCAGAGUCUGCGUCUCAAGAGAGGCGGGGCGUCCGUCGGGGUCAAACCCGAUGGUCGCGUCGCUGUCCUCGAUCGCGCCUGGGCCGAUAGGUCCGGGUAAUCUUUGCAAAUUUAAUCGUGCUGGGGAUAGAUCAUUGUAAUUAUUGAUCUUCAACGAGGAAUUCCUAGUAAGCGCGAGUCAUCAGCUCGCGUUGAUUACGUCCCUGCCCUUUGUACACACCGCCCGUCGCUCCUACCGAUUGAAUGGUCCGGUGAAAUCCUCGGAGCCGUGGCCUCUACGCAAUCCGGGCAACCGGGUUGUGAGGUCUCCCCUUUGGCGG
rnacentral:rRNA from 1 species